AUAAAGCGCAUUGCAACUGCAGCGCUCCCGCCAACACAACGCGUUCUAUUUUUAAACAUUUGAAUUUCAAGUUUCAAAUUUUCUUUUUUCUUCAUCUUCUUUGUUUUUAAAAACAUCAAGAUGCCUUGCGGAGGUUGUGGUGACAACUGUAAAUGCAGCGCAAACCAGUGCUGUACAUCAUGCAAGUGUGAUGCAUCUUGCACUUGCACCUGCAAACGUACAACAACCACCACAGACACUGCAAAGGACACCAAAAAGUAACCGUCGUAGCAUUAAGCCUUUUUCGUCAAUAAUAAAAAAAAACAAUCAUCGAUGGUCAUGGGUUUCAAAUUUCAUAAUUGGAACACAACAUUUCUUUAUUUGAAUAAUUUGACAUUAGGAAUGGUGCAAAGUGUGAAAAAUUAAAACUGGAAUGUUUUUACGUAACAUUUUAUUUUCAACAAAUAAAACAACUGUUUAAAUAGUAAUUUGCUAUAUGUAUAAAUAAAUAAAUAAAUUACUCAUUCAUAUCUACUUCGUUUAUCAAAUAAACUGCAUAGUUUAUUUGACAUGACAUUGUUUUCCAUCAUUCACCCGAUGAUCACUUUGUGGAAUCCACCAUUUUGCUUUUCAUUGUUGAAAGAAAAUAAAUCAUUAUAACCAUA